AAGCGUUCUCUGAAGUCUCGCGUUGUUUGCGUCUCUGGGUUUAGAAACUGGGAGUGGGGGAACAGGAAGUUCCACGCAGGCGCACAUCAUUCUUCACAAUAAAGGACACGCCAGAAUUGUGCAGUCGAGACCACAACUUUUGUGUACGUUUCAAAUGUAUUUCUACUGGCUCCGGUAUUUCCACGACACUCUCCUUCCACACUGAGUCCAAACCUACAGUCACUGGGUCCUGAUUGUGACAGUGGAGCCCAUUUUGAAUUGCAGGAUCCAGAGAUGGCAUCAGUGAAGCUGGAAGACUGCAGUCAAACAGUGGAACAUCACAAGCGUUCUCUGAAGUCUCGUGUUGUUUGCGUCUCUGGGUUUAGAAACUGGUAGUGGGGGAACAGGAAGUUCCACGCAGGCGCACAUCAUUCUUCACAAUAAAGGACACGCCAGAAUUUUGCAGUCGAGACCACAACUUUUGUGUACGUUUCAAAUGUAUUACUACUGGUAUGUAAUAGCACGUUUUAAUAUCUUAAGAACACGUCAUAACAUGCUAGGUAACAAAUACGUCAAGUUAUUAUCACGUUUGGUAGAAGAAAAAAAAUGUGCCAAACCGCGUGAGUGAACGUGAUCACUUUUUUAAAUUUAUUUUUAAUUUUUACAAUUGACAUAGAUACUCUGGGUUUGUCUGAGUGGAUAUAUCUCGUCAUGGUAAUCUCAUUAAGGAUCAAAUAAUUUGAGAUUUCUGGGUUCGUUUAACAUGUCGUUUUUGGUUUUGUGUAACGUUAAAAUUCACGAGCUGGUAAAAUGGCGGUCCCCCCUCUGUCUGCGUCAACGGACUUCAGUUCAGGCAGUGAGGGUGCAGCAGAGAGACAAUUUUACGGAUCCACUACUGUUUUGGAGCUAAUUUGUAAUGAUUAUCAGUUUUCUACAUGUGUACUAAUAUUCAGACAAUUUAAGUUAUCUUUAUCUGUAAAUGUUACUACGGAAAUACUAUUGGUUUUUGAUUGAAAUACAGUAAAGAAAAGGUUAUUCAGGAAAAUAGUACAUAGUGCUGCCUAAAACAUACUGCAACCUUGUACUAAAUGUUUUUUGUCAUUUCUGCAUUUAUGUGAAUUUGGGAAAUUUACUAUAGAUCAUGUUUGAACUAAUUUUAAAGCGUGUACUUUUUAAUUAAUGUUUUGCUAUCAAUGCUUAGCUACCAGAUCUUUUGAAAUGACAUCAGUUCUUGACUUGGACAGGAGCUCACCGGAGCUGAGUACCGUCACCUCAAAUUUCUACUGUUUGAGCUCAUGAUGCUGGGAUAGGUAUUGUGAACACGCCAUUGCAGUUAUGACAUUGAUAAAAUAAUGGCCAUGUUUCAAGAGUAUCAGAAUUGUUCACUUCUCUCAUUGACUUCUCAAACCCAGGUUUGGUCUGCUUCACAAGCCUUCUCUGAAGUCUCGCGUUUUUACGUCUCUGGGUUUAGAAACUGGUAGUGGGGAAACAGGAAGUUCCGCUCAGGCGCGCAUCAUUCUUCGCAAUCAAGGAAACGCCAGAAUUGUGCAGUCGAGACGACUACUUCUGUGUCCUUUUCAAAUGUAUGUCUACUGAUUAAGUCUGAGGCCGGUAACAUCAACAGUGAGGACAAACCCAGCCUGCCUCUCUCCUUCCACACCGAGUCCAAACCUACAGUCACUGGGUCCUGAUUGUGACAGUGGAGCCCAGUUUGCACUGCAGGAUCCAGAGAUGGCAUCAGUGAAGCUGGAAGACUGCAGUCAAACACUGGAGCUGAAUGUCAACAUUAAAGAUGAAGAAGAGGAGGAGAAGAUUGGGAAACCUGUUUCUCAUGGUAUGACGCCGGUAACAUCAACAGUGACGACAAACCCAGCCUGCCUCUCUCCUUCCACACUGACUCCAAACCUACAGUCAAUGGGUUCUGAUUGUGACAGUGGAGCCCAGUUUGUACUGCAGGAUCCAGAGAUGGCAUCAGUGAAGCUGGAAGACUGCAGUCAAACUCUGGAGCUGAAUGUCAACAUUAAAGAUGAAGAAGAGGAGGAGAAGAUUGGGGAAUCUGUUUCUCAUGGUAAGAGCAGGUUCUAUCUAUCUAAGUUUGUUGUUCAUUCCAACUUCCCACUGUGUAUGAAAAGUUGCAGUAGAACUGUUUCAUGAUGAACUGUUUCAAUGAGAAGGUAGAUGUUAUUUCAUGCUACUGACACUUGCAUGGUUUGACAUCAGUAUUGUCAGCAUUUGUUUUAUUUACUGAGCUGUCUGGAGUGAUCAGGGAGGAGACUAAAGAAGUGAAGUAGACAAACUGCCAGUGUUUUAAAGUUCUAUGAAUAUAGUCUGUAGUUUCUAACCCUUGUGAUAGUGAGUGGAGGAUGAUAUAGGUCAUACUUUUCAAGACUUAUGAGAUACUUUAAUAGUUUUUUAUUCUCCUUUUGUAUUGCACAGCCUACUAAAAUGAAUACGUACUGGUAGCCUAGUGGUUAGAACGUUGGGCCAGUAACCGAAAGAUUGCUGGAUCGAAUCCUUGAGCUGACAAGGUAAAAAUAUGUCAUUCUGCCCCUGAGCACGGCAGUUAACACACUGAACCCCGGGCCCCUGAGCACGGCAGUUAACACACUG